GGAAAUACAAGAAGGGAAUAUUGGCCGUAAGUCCUUCUAUAGUAUAGCAUAAAUCAUUUUCUAGUAUAGCACAAGAGAAGAGAGAACCCAUAAGUUUACAUUACUUUAUCUCCUUGUCCAAAAUAUUCAGGAAGGGAAGGUAAAUAAGAAAAAGAAGGGCAAGGCCAAAAAAGAAUUGAAGCAAGAGAAGGCCAGUAAGACGCAACAGAUGGGAAAUGUUGGAGAAAGUAAGGAGGAGGACAAGAAAGAGGAAAAGAAUAGUCUGAGGAAGAGGUUUCUUCAGUGGCUGCUGUCCAAACUUAGAUGUUCAAAUAAAUAAUGGCCAACUAUUACUUCUACCACACACACACACACAGAUUUGAGUAUUGGUUAUUCCUACAACACACACAAAUGUAAUUUCAGAGACCAGAACUAUGAUUAACAAAAUACAUAUAUUGGUCUCAUUCUUAUAUUUUGAGACAUGCAGCAUUAUUUAAAUGAAAAAUAUAUAUUGAUCACCAUACAGCCUAUGAUAAUGAAUUGGAUUUACAUGCUUAGGCUUGGAAAUAUAGCCAGGAGAAGCAAAGGACAGCACCAACCUUAGGGCAUUGUCACUGGUAUUGGGGUCUUAGGUCUCCUUUGGCCAAAGUGAAGUUGAGUUGAGGGCCCAUUACUGGUCUCCUUGCAAUAUCUGGUCUCCCACACAGAGAUGGAAAUCUACACCUGUUUAGACCUUGGAGGAUAUGGCUUCAGAUGAAAGACAGCAGAGAGAUGCAGAACGUAAAAGCUUCAAACACAAUUGAUAUGCAAAUUCAGGACCAUUGUACACUGAAGUGGAGCAUGCAUCUGGUUUGAAGCAUGUCAAAAGAGUAGAAAUGAACUGGGACUGGAGGAAUAUAUCACAUUUAAACUAAAUUAGCAUGUAUCUGAUUUAGCUACACUAAUCUAUACUUGAAUUGUGCUGUUUGAAAAGUGCAUUUCCAAUAAAGCUUUUUAAAUUGCA